rnacentral:rRNA from 1 species
UACGGAGGAUCCAAGCGUUAUCCGGAAUCAUUGGGUUUAAAGGGUCCGUAGGCGGUUUAAUAAGUCAGUGGUGAAAGCCCAUCGCUCAACGGUGGAACGGCCAUUGAUACUGUUAAACUUGAAUUAUUAGGAAGUAACUAGAAUAUGUAGUGUAGCGGUGAAAUGCUUAGAGAUUACAUGGAAUACCAAUUGCGAAGGCAGGUUACUACUAAUGGAUUGACGCUGAUGGACGAAAGCGUGGGUAGCGA